rnacentral:rRNA from 1 species
GAUGAACGCUGGCGGCGUGCCUAAUACAUGCAAGUCGAGCGAACAGACGAGGAGCUUGCUCCUCUGACGUUAGCGGCGGACGGGUGAGUAACACGUGGAUAACCUACCUAUAAGACUGGGAUAACUUCGGGAAACCGGAGCUAAUACCGGAUAAUAUAUUGAACCGCAUGGUUCAAUAGUGAAAGACGGUUUUGCUGUCACUUAUAGAUGGAUCCGCGCCGCAUUAGCUAGUUGGUAAGGUAACGGCUUACCAAGGCGACGAUGCGUAGCCGCCCUGAGAGGGUGAUCGGCCACCCUGGAACGGGGAAACGGUCCAGACUCCUACGGGAGGCAGCAGUAGGGAAUCUUCGGCAAUGGGCGAAAGCCUGACGGAGCAACGCCGCGUGAGUGAUGAAGGUCUUCGGAUCGUAAAACUCUGUUAUUAGGGAAGAACAAAUGUGGAAGUAACUAUGCACGUCUUGACGGUACCUAAUCAGAAAGCCACGGCUAACUACGUG